rnacentral:piRNA from 1 species
AGCUUGACAUCUCACAUCUACCAAUCC